rnacentral:rRNA from 1 species
CCUACGGGAGGCAGCAGUGGGGGAUAUUGCACAAUGGGGGAAACCCUGAUGCAGCGACGCCGCGUGAACGAUGAAGUAUUUCGGUAUGUCAACUUCUAUCAGCAGGGAAGAACAUGACGGUACCUCACUAUGAAGCCCCGGCUAACUACGUGCCAGCAGCCGCGGUAAUACGUAUGUGGCAAGAGUGAUCCGGAUUUACUGGGUGUAAAGGGAGCGAAGACGGCCUGGCAAGUCUGAUGUGAAAGCCCGGGGCUCAACACCGGGACUGCAUUGGAAACUGUCAGGCUAGAGUGUCGGAGAGGCAAGUGGAAUUCCUAGUGUAGCGGUGAAAUGCGUAGAUAUUAGGAGGAACACCAGUGGCGAAGGCGGCUUGCUGGACGAUGACUGACGUUGAGGCUCGAAAGCGUGGGGAGCAAACAGGAUUAGAUACCCCGGUAGUC